rnacentral:misc_RNA from 1 species
UCCGGCUUAUCACCGGCGGUUUCCUUAGAGUUCCCAACUAAAUGAUGGCAACUAAGGACAAGGGUUGCGCUCGUUGCGGGACUUAACCCAACAUCUCACGACACGAGCUGACGACAGCCAUGCAGCACCUGUGUUCCAGUUCCCUUUCGGGCACAGCCGCCUUUCAGCAGCCUUCCGGACAUGUCAAGGGUAGGUAAGGUUGUUCGCGUUGCAUCGAAUUAAUCCACAUCAUCCACCGCUUGUGCGGGUCCCCGUCAAUUCCUUUGAGUUUUAAUCUUGCGACCGUACUCCCCAGGCGGAUCACUUCACGCGUUAGCUUCGGUACUCGGGAAUUGCUUCCCCAACACCUAGUGAUCAUCGUUUAGGGCGUGGACUAC